GAAGGUAUAGCUCAGUGGUAGAGUGCCUGCCUAGCAUGCAUGAGGUCUUGGGUUCAAUCCCCAGUACCUCCA
rnacentral:tRNA from 1 species